ACCUGGCUGGCUCAGUAGGUAGAGCAUGCAACCCUUGAUGUCGUGGUUGUGAGUUCAAGCCCCACGAUGGGUA
rnacentral:tRNA from 1 species